GACGAACGCUGGCGGCGUGCCUAAUACAUGCAAGUCGAACGAGAGCGACCGGUGCUUGCACUGGUCAAUCUAGCGGCGCACGGGUGAGUAACACGUGGGUAACCUGCCCAUCAGAGGGGGAUAACAUCCGGAAACGGAUGCUAAAACCGCAUAGGUCUUCGAACCGCAUGGUUUGAAGAGGAAAAGAGGCGCAAGCUUCUGCUGAUGGAUGGACCCGCGGUGCAUUAGCUAGUUGGUGAGGUAACGGCUCACCAAGGCCGUGAUGCAUAGCCGACCUGAGAGGGUGAUCGGCCACAUUGGGACUGAGACACGGCCCAAACUCCUACGGGAGGCAGCAGUAGGGAAUCUUCCGCAAUGGACGCAAGUCUGACGGAGCAACGCCGCGUGAGUGAAGAAGGUUUUCGGAUCGUAAAACUCUGUUGUUAGAGAAGAACAAGUGCUAGAGUAACUGUUAGCGCCUUGACGGUAUCUAAACAGAAAGCCACGGCUAACUACGUG
rnacentral:rRNA from 1 species